rnacentral:ncRNA from 1 species
CUAUCUGCCACGAUAAGGAGCAGUAGUGGUGUUGAAUCCUUUUAGAGAGCUGACGGUAGGUGCAAGUCAGCAGGAAGCCAUCAUGAACUCGCCUUUGAGCAGCAAGUGUGAAGUAGUAGUAAUGCUUGCCGUUUUCCGCGUUAAGGAUGAAUGAAGCGAAUGACUUUUGUCAUUAAUGUGGGUGGUACCGCGGGAGAUUCAUACAUAAUCCUCUCGUCCCUAUU